AGCAACUCAGCUAGCACACAAGACCUCGUCGCGGAACCGUCUCCAUCUUGGACGUCUGAGUCAAAUAAGCCACUCCACUCGUUCUCAACACCAGACGAUGGCAUUCGCUGCUCGUCCCAAAAAUCGUCGCCAGUCCAUCUCAGCAAUACAAUACGCAGGGAGAAAGGAGCAAAUUACCCCUCGAUUUGCUCAAACAGUAGCGGAUGCCAUGGAAUCCAGAGUGACGAGCACAACCAAAGCUCGUCUCCUCUUGCUCCUGCUACUGGUAUGCACAUGCGGCGGCGCCGUCUCUCCACGAAGCGACACCGAGGCCGAAGCCAGAGCGCUUUUGGCAUGGAAGUCCACUCUCAUGAUCUCCGACGGGAACGCCGCUUCUCCGCUCUCGUCGUGGUCGCCGGCCAGCCCUGCCUGCGGUUCUUGGUCCGGCGUGGCCUGCAACGCGGCCGGCCGUGUCGCCGGGCUGACGAUUCGGGGAGCCGGGGUCGCAGGCACGCUCGACGCCCUGGACUUCUCCGCGUUACCGGCGCUCGCCAGCCUCAACCUCAGCGGCAACCAUCUCGCGGGCGCCAUCCCCGUCAACGUCUCCCUCCUGACAUCGCUUGCCUCGCUCGACCUUUCGAGCAACGACCUCACCGGCGGCAUACCGGCGGCCCUCGGGACGCUGCGCGGCCUGCGAGCUCUUGUUCUGCGCAACAACCCGCUCGGAGGGCGGAUCCCCGGGUCCCUCGCCAAGCUCGCCGCGCUGCGGCGGCUGGACCUGCAGGCCGUGCGGCUCGUCGGCACGAUUCCGACGGGGUUGGGACGCCUGACAGCUCUCAGAUUCUUGGACCUGUCCAGGAACAGCCUCUCCGGCGAGCUGCCACCGUCCUUCGCCGGCAUGACCAAGAUGAAGGAGCUCUACCUGUCAAGAAACAACCUCUCGGGUCUGAUUCCAGCUGAGCUCUUCACCAGCUGGCCUGAGGUAACUCUGUUCUUCCUUCACUACAAUUCGUUCACGGGAGGCAUACCGCCGGAGAUCGGCAAAGCAGCCAAGCUGCGGUUCUUGUCGCUUGAGGCCAACAACCUCACCGGCGUCAUCCCGGCGGAGAUCGGCAGCUUGACUGGCCUCAAGAUGCUCGAUUUGGGGAGGAACUCGCUAUCCGGACCCAUCCCUCCUUCCAUUGGAAACCUGAAGCUGCUUGUCGUCAUGGCUCUGUACUUCAAUGAACUCACCGGCUCGGUGCCCCCUGAAGUCGGUACCAUGUCGUUACUACAAGGCCUCGACCUCAACGAUAACCAGCUGGAGGGUGAGCUGCCUGCAGCGAUUUCAUCGUUCAAGGAUCUGUACAGUGUUGACUUCAGUAACAACAAGUUCACUGGUACAAUCCCAAGCAUAGGCAGUAAGAAAUUGCUCGUGGCUGCCUUUGCCAACAAUAGUUUCUCGGGGAGCUUCCCCCGGACAUUCUGCGACAUCACUUCACUGGAAAUGUUGGAUUUAUCUGGCAACCAACUGUGGGGUGAGCUCCCUAACUGCCUGUGGGACUUCCAGAAUCUAUUGUUCCUUGAUCUGUCUAGCAAUGGUUUCUCCGGGAAGGUUCCGUCAGCUGGAUCCGCUAACUUAUCGUCGUUGGAAUCGUUGCAUUUGGCAGAUAACAGUUUCACAGGUGGGUUCCCAGCUAUAAUACAGAAGUGCAAGCAGCUGAUUGUCCUUGAUAUCGGUGAGAACUACUUUUCCAGCCAAAUUCCAUCAUGGAUAGGUUCAAAACUUCCUUCCCUAAGGAUCCUCCGGCUGCGGUCGAACUUGUUUAGUGGUAGCAUUCCCUUGCAACUAUCACAGCUCUCACAUCUCCAACUACUCGACCUAUCUGCCAACCAUUUUUCAGGUCACAUACCGCAGGGUUUGCUUGCCAAUUUAACAUCCAUGAUGAAGCCACAGACAGAAUUCAACCUGACUUCACUAGUUCACCAUCAAGUUUUAAAUCUAGAUGCUCAGUUAUAUAUUGCCAACCGGAUCGAUGUAAGCUGGAAGAUGAAGAGCUACACAUUCCAAGGAACGAUUGCACUGAUGAUAGGUAUCGACUUAUCAGACAAUUCAUUCUCUGGCGAGAUUCCGACUGAGCUAACGAAUCUCCAGGGCCUCCGGUUUCUGAAUCUGUCUAGAAACCAUUUAUCAGGCCACAUCCCUGGAAACAUUGGUGAUCUCAAACUUUUGGAAUCCCUUGACUGCUCGUGGAAUGAAUUGUCAGGUGCUAUUCCUUCAAGCAUCUCGAAACUGGCGUCUCUUAGUUCGCUCAAUCUCUCCAACAAUAAUCUCUCUGGCGAGAUACCAACUGGGAAUCAGCUCCAAACACUGGACGACCCUUCCAUUUACAACAACAAUUCUGGGCUUUGCGGAUUUCCGUUGAGCGUCGCAUUCGCAUGCUCCAAAGGUUCUCCGGUUACUGUGGAAACACUGGACACAGAACUUGAAACCGUAUAUUUCUACUACUCAAUAAUUGCUGGGCUCGUCCUUGGAUUUUGGUUGUGGUUUGGGUCUCUAGUUUUCUUCGAGGCGUGGAGAACUUUUUUUAUGUGUUGUGUAGAUAGCCUUCAAGAUAAGGUUAUGAAAAGAUGCAGAGCGUUUCGGUAAUGUGUGCCUAUAUAUAGCGUUCUGUACUUGAGUGUAGGAUAUGCAUACAGGAUUUAUAAACGGAAAUUGCGUUU